rnacentral:piRNA from 1 species
UUCCAAUGUCCUUAUUAUGGUCUCCAGCUGU